rnacentral:rRNA from 1 species
UCGAGCGCCCCUUCGGGGGAGCGGCGGACGGGUUAGUAACGCGUGGGAACGUGCCCUUCUCUACGGAAUAGCCUCGGGAAACUGAGAGUAAUACCGUAUACGCCCUUAGGGGGAAAGAUUUAUCGGAGAAGGAUCGGCCCGCGUUGGAUUAGGUAGUUGGUGGGGUAAUGGCCUACCAAGCCGACGAUCCAUAGCUGGUUUGAGAGGAUGAUCAGCAACACUGGGACUGAGACACGGCCCAGACUCCUACGGGAGGCAGCAGUGGGGAAUCUUAGACAAUGGGGGAAACCCUGAUCUAGCCAUGCCGCGUGAGUGACGAAGGCCCUAGGGUCGUAAAGCUCUUUCGCUAGGGAAGAUAAUGACGGUACCUAGUAAAGAAGUCCCGGCUAACUCCGUGCCAGCAGCCGCGGUAAUACGGAGGGGACUAGCGUUGUUCGGAAUUACUGGGCGUAAAGCGCGCGUAGGCGGACUAUUAAGUCAGGGGUGAAAUCCCGGGGCUCAACCCCGGAACUGCCUUUGAUACUGGUAGUCUUGAGAUCGAGAGAGGUGAGUGGAAUUCCGAGUGUAGAGGUGGAAUUCGUAGAUAUUCGGAGGAACACCAGUGGCGAAGGCGGCUCACUGGCUCGACACUGACGCUGAGGUGCGAAAGUGUGGGGAGCAAACAGGAUUAAUACCCUGGUAGUCCAC